AGUAACGGCGAGUGAAGCGGCAACAGCUCAAAUUUGAAAUCUGGCUCUCGGGCCCGAGUUGUAAUUUGUAGAGGAUGCUUUUGAUGCGGUGCCUUCCGAGUUCCCUGGAACGGGACGCCAUAGAGGGUGAGAGCCCCGUCUGGUUGGAUGCCAAAUCUCUGUAAAGCUCCUUCAACGAGUCGAGUUGUUUGGG
rnacentral:rRNA from 1 species